rnacentral:lncRNA from 1 species
UACAUUUAUAAAUGCUUUUUGUAUCACCUUUGUCAUUGGUAAUUUCUUUUUUUUUUUUUUUCUUUCCCCCAGAACUACAACUAACUGGCUGAGGUAUGAAAAUUGCUGAAGGGCAUUUUCUAUCACACUUUGGGCAGCUGCACACGAAAUUGAUGGAAAAUUACCUUCCCAAGGUGAGCUAACAGCUGAUUGUCUGCCUCAUCACCUGAACUUCAAAAUAACUCUUAUUAUUCAGUACGAGAAUGAUCAGAGAACUAGAAAACAUGACCUGCAAUGAAAGAUUGAACUAAUUGGCUCUGUGCAAUCUGUGGA